rnacentral:rRNA from 1 species
CCUACGGGGUGCAGCAGUGAGGAAUAUUGGUCAAUGGGCGUAAGCCUGAACCAGCCAAGUCGCGUGAGGGAUGAAGGUUCCAUGGAUCGUAAACCUCUUUUAUAAGGGAAUAAAGUGUGGGACGUGUCCUGUUUUGUAUGUACCUUAUGAAUAAGGAUCGGCUAACUCCGUGCCAGCAGCCGCGGUAAUACGGAGGAUCCGAGCGUUAUCCGGAUUUAUUGGGUUUAAAGGGUGCGUAGGCGGCCUUUUAAGUCAGCGGUGAAAGUCUGUGGCUCAACCAUAGAAUUGCCGUUGAAACUGGGAGGCUUGAGUAUGUUUGAGGCAGGCGGAAUGCGUGGUGUAGCGGUGAAAUGCUUAGAUAUCACGCAGAACCCCGAUUGCGAAGGCAGCCUGCCAAGCCAUGACUGACGCUGAUGCACGAAAGCGUGGGGAUCAAACAGGAUUAGAUACCCGGGUAGUC